rnacentral:snRNA from 1 species
GCGCUUGCUUCAGUAGCACAUAUACUAAAAUUGAAUUACAGAGAA